rnacentral:rRNA from 1 species
UUCCAGACUCCUACGGGAGGCAGCAGUGGGGGAUAUUGCACAAUGGGGGGAACCCUGAUGCAGCGACGCCGCGUGGGUGAAGGAGCGUUUCGGCGCGUAAAGCCCUAUCGGCAGGAAAGAAGGAGGACGGUACCUGACUAAGAAGCCCCGGCUAACUACGUGCCAGCAGCCGCGGGAAUACGUAGGGGGCGAGCGUUAUCCGGAUUCACUGGGUGUAAAGGGAGCGUAGACGGCCAAGCAAGCCAGGGGUGAAAGCCCGGGGCCCAACCCCGGGACUGCCCUUGGAACUGCUUGGCUGGAGUGCGGGAGGGGCAGGCGGAAUUCCUGGUGUAGCGGUGAAAUGCGUAGAUAUUAGGAGGAACACCAGUGGCGAAGGCGGCUUACUGGACAGUAACUGACGUUGAGGCUCGAAAGCGUGGGGAGCAAACAGGAUUAGAUACCCCAGUA